GUGCGUGUGUGUUAUAAAUAUUGCAGCAACAUAUUGAAAGGGGGGCAGAUAUAAACGAUGCUUAUCCAGCAGCCAUGCCUAAUUUUGUAUCAAAUGCUGUGUUUGAAAGAGAAUUAACAAAGAAGAAAUGCUCUCCACUAUGUUUGUUGGAGGAGCUUCAACUUAUGGAUGAGGCUAUUCUUCUGAGCAAAGAUAUCAAAAUACAAUUGCCAUCAGAGUCCAGCUAUGAAAAUCCAUUUUUGAUGAUGGUUUGGACAAAGAAUUUUGCUAGGGACGAGGAAAGGG